CGGGGCGUAGCGCAGUUGGCAGCGCGCUUGGUUCGGGACCAAGAGGUCGGCAGUUCAAGUCUGCCCGCCCCGA
rnacentral:tRNA from 1 species